rnacentral:lncRNA from 1 species
UAUUAAAUUAUUAAACAAUUUCGAAAUAUUUAAAUAAAUCAAAAGUAAAUUCCUUUAUGUCACAUCACAGUUUAUAUUAAUAUAACCACUCACUUAACCUUAAAUUAAACACAAUUUAAGUUAAUCAAACACCUUAAUAUAAUCUACACUCAAAUAAAUUAAACUAACCACCUAAUAACACUUAACAUAAACUAAGCAC